UGGGGAAUUUUGGACAAUGGGGGAAACCCUGAUCCAGCCAUCCCGCGUGUGCGAUGAAGGCCUUCGGGUUGUAAAGCACUUUUGGCAGGAAAGAAACGUCGCGGGUUAAUACCCCGCGAAACUGACGGUACCUGCAGAAUAAGCACCGGCUAACUACGUGCCAGCAGCCGCGGUAAUACGUAGGGUGCAAGCGUUAAUCGGAAUUACUGGGCGUAAAGCGUGCGCAGGCGGUUCGGAAAGAAAGAUGUGAAAUCCCAGAGCUUAACUUUGGAACUGCAUUUUUAACUACCGGGCUAGAGUGUGUCAGAGGGAGGUGGAAUUCCGCGUGUAGCAGUGAAAUGCGUAGAUAUGCGGAGGAACACCGAUGGCGAAGGCAGCCUCCUGGGAUAACACUGACGCUCAUGCACGAAAGCGUGGGGAGCAAACAGGAUUAGAUACCCUGGUAGUCCACGCCCUAAACGAUGUCAACUAGCUGUUGGGGCCUUCGGGCCUUGGUGCGCAGCUAACGCGUGAAGUUGACCGCCUGGGGAGUACGGUCGCAAGAUUAAAACUCAAAGGAAUUGGAC
rnacentral:rRNA from 1 species